GCUGACGAGUGGCGGACGGGUGAGUAAUGUCUGGGAAACUGCCUGAUGGAGGGGGAUAACUACUGGAAACGGUGGCUAAUACCGCAUAACGUCGCAAGACCAAAGAGGGGGACCUUCGGGCCUCUUGCCAUCAGAUGUGCCCAGAUGGGAUUAGCUUGUUGGUGAGGUAACGGCUCACCAAGGCGACGAUCCCUAGCUGGUCUGAGAGGAUGACCAGCCACACUGGAACUGAGACACGGUCCAGACUCCUACGGGAGGCAGCAGUGGGGAAUAUUGCACAAUGGGCGCAAGCCUGAUGCAGCCAUGCCGCGUGUAUGAAGAAGGCCUUCGGGUUGUAAAGUACUUUCAGCGGGGAGGAAGGUGUUGUGGUUAAUAACCGCAGCAAUUGACGUUACCCGCAGAAGAAGCACCGGCUAACUCCGUGCCAGCAGCCGCGGUAAUACGGAGGGUGCAAGCGUUAAUCGGAAUUACUGGGCGUAAAGCGCACGCAGGCGGUCUGUCAAGUCGGAUGUGAAAUCCCCGGGCUCAACCUGGGAACUGCAUUCGAAACUGGCAGGCUUGAGUCUUGUAGAGGGGGGUAGAAUUCCAGGUGUAGCGGUGAAAUGCGUAGAGAUCUGGAGGAAUACCGGUGGCGAAGGCGGCCCCCUGGACAAAGACUGACGCUCAGGUGCGAAAGCGUGGGGAGCAAACAGGAUUAGAUACCCUGGUAGUCCACGCCGUAAACGAUGUCUACUUGGAGGUUGUGCCCUUGAGGCGUGGCUUCCGGAGCUAACGCGUUAAGUAGACCGCCUGGGGAGUACGGCCGCAAGGUUAAAACUCAAAUGAAUUGACGGGGGCCCGCACAAGCGGUGGAGCAUGUGGUUUAAUUCGAUGCAACGCGAAGAACCUUACCUGGUCUUGACAUCCACGGAAGUUUUCAGAGAUGAGAAUGUGCCUUCGGGAACCGUGAGACAGGUGCUGCAUGGCUGUCGUCAGCUCGUGUUGUGAAAUGUUGGGUUAAGUCCCGCAACGAGCGCAACCCUUAUCCUUUGUUGCCAGCGGUUAGGCCGGGAACUCAAAGGAGACUGCCAGUGAUAAACUGGAGGAAGGUGGGGAUGACGUCAAGUCAUCAUGGCCCUUACGACCAGGGCUACACACGUGCUACAAUGGCGCAUACAAAGAGAAGCGACCUCGCGAGAGCAAGCGGACCUCAUAAAGUGCGUCGUAGUCCGGAUUGGAGUCUGCAACUCGACUCCAUGAAGUCGGAAUCGCUAGUAAUCGUGGAUCAGAAUGCCACGGUGAAUACGUUCCCGGGCCUUGUACACACCGCCCGUCACACCAUGGGAGUGGGUUGCAAAAGAAGUAGGUAGCUUAACCUUCGGGAGGGCGCUUACCACUUUGUGAUUCAUGACUGGGGUGAAGUCGUAACAAGGUAACCGUAGGGGAACCUGCGGUUGGA
rnacentral:rRNA from 1 species